ACAAGAGCAGGCAUAGGAGCUGUGAUUGGGAGAGGCACAGUGCUGCACAGUGCCUCUCCCAACUGCGGCUCCUGUGCCUGCCCUUGU